UCCAACGCGGGGCUAGCAGCGGCGGUAAUACGGAGGGGCCAAGCGUUAUCCGGAAGUAUUGGGUGUAAAGGGUCCGGAGGCGGUCUUAUAAGUCAGUGGUGAAAGCCCAUCGCUCAACGAUGGAACUGCCAUUGAUACUGUAAGACUUGAAUGCUUAGGAAGUAACUAGAAUAUGUAGUGUAGCGGUGAAAUGCUUAGAUAUUACAUGGAAUACCAAUUGCGAAGGCAGGUUACUACUAAGUGAUUGACGCUGAUGGACGAAAGCGUGGGGAGCGAACAGGAUUAGAUACCCCAGUAGUC
rnacentral:rRNA from 1 species